rnacentral:ribozyme from 13 species
GUCCCUUUUUCUUUCUUUCUUUUUUUUUCUCUUUUUCUUUUUGUUGUUAUCAUCCUUUGUUUCCAACAUCAUGAUUAUAUUUAUUAAAACC